UCUAUUGUUCUAAUUUUUCAACUCUUGCUGGUGAAUCCAUUUUGAUGUUCUAGCUAACACGUUACACUGAACCGGUGUUCACACAUUUUACAUUUUUUUUGAAAAUUUCAUCAAUAAGAUUAUACAGCCUUAAUAUGUAACACUCCUAUACCAUGAAAGAUGCUUUCACACAUUAGGAUGUUGCACAUAUACAUCUAAAUAUGUUGCACUCCUAGACAGAGAAGAUUGAUUCAUGGCAGAUAGGAAGAGUCAACAUAUACAGCCCAGAUAUGUUCCACUCCUACCCACUGAAUAUGGUUUCAUGGUAGAUGCACAUUAGGAUGUUUAACAUAUACAGCCGAAAUAUGUUACACUCCUAGACAAUGAAGAUGGUUUCAUGGUAGAUUGAUCACACAUCUGGAUACGUAGCAUGUA